UACGAAGGGAGCUAGCGUUGUUCGGAAUUACUGGGCGUAAAGCGCACGUAGGCGGGCUGUUAAGUCAGGGGUGAAAUCCCGGGGCUCAACCUCGGAAUUGCCUCUGAUACUGGCAGUAUUGAGUUCGGGAUAGGUUGGUGGAAUUCCUAGUGUAGAGGGGAAAUUCGUAAAUAUUAGGAAGAACACCAGUGGCGAAGGCGGCCAACUGGACCGACACUGACGCUGAGGUGCGAAAGCGUGGGGAGCAAACAGG
rnacentral:rRNA from 1 species